ACCGGCGGCUCGAGUGGUGGCCACUAUUACUGGGCUUAAAGCGUUCCUAGCUGGCUUGUUAAGUCUCUGGGGAAAUCUUCCGGCUCAACCGGAAGGCGUCUCAGGGAUACUGGCAGGCUAGGGACCGGAAGAGGUGAGAGGUACUCCAGGGGUAGGAGGGAAAUCCUGUAGUCCGGGGGGGACCACCUGUGGCGAAGGCGUCGCACCAGGACGGCUCCGACAGUGAGGAACGAAAGCGGGGGGAGCAAACAG
rnacentral:rRNA from 1 species